rnacentral:lncRNA from 1 species
UGUACUAUUAUAGUUUAUUCACACCAGAGAAACUAUUCGGUAUUUACACAUGUGUAAAUGAAUGUUUUUUUUUCUUUCUUUCUUCUUUUAGGCUCUUCACUGAUAUUUAUUCAUUUGGUCUUCAUUAACUCUUUUUUGGGGGUGGGUACCAGGGAUCAAACUUGAGACCUUGCACUUGCCAGGCAGGCGGCAGAACCGCUGAGCUAAAUCCCGGGCCCUGGUCUUCAUUAACUCUCAAACUACAGUUUUCUAUGGAAAGAUCUCCAAGCUACUCAGUCAGAAAUCCCAAUCCAUGGCAAUGAUCCUAAGGCCAACCCAUGUAGAUAUGUUAAAUGGCUGUAUUAGCAAAUAAUUCAUAUAUCAUGAAAUUUACAUAUUUAAGUAUACAAUUAAAUACUUUUCAUUGUACUUGUAGAUAUAUGUGACCUUCACUUUCAUCACCUCAAAAGAUCCUAUACUAUGGCUAUCACCCAUUUAUCCCUCUGUUUCCUCCCUACCCCAAUCCUAGCAUAUUUCAAUCUACUUUCAGUCUCCAUAGAUUUUUUCCAUUCUGUACAUUUUAUAACUGGACUCUAACUCCUACAAGGUAAAGGCUGUAGCUUGAAAAUGCUUGUGAUCUGCUAUGCUUGGCUAUCCUACCUUCUCUCCAGGAGACUUUUGGAUUUGUAAGAUCUUCUGUUUCAUCCCAUCCCUUUCUUCUUCAUCCUUCCAAGAUGGCACCAUUCCAGCUCAACCUGCAGGCUUUGGGCAUCACGUGGGAUAUGCAAAGGCUACCAGCAGAAGAGGGGCCUGCCUACAGCCAAGCUGUCUGAGCUGGUUCCACUUGUAAUGUGCCAUCUGUCUCGAUGCCCAUCAGCAGCCAGCAGCUGCCAGCCUGCUAGUGCCACAGGGACAAAGCAUCAGUUACCUGCUGGCCAUUUUCUACUCUCUGGAAACCCAUCAUCACACUCUUGAAGACAAACUGAGUGUGUAUGGUGAGUCUAGCUCUGGCUUUCUAGGGUGGAGGGAAAGGGCACACAGGUCCUUGCCUCUAAGAGCUUUUAGUUUAGCUGGCAGGGCUGAAAUGGCCUAAAGUGGAGCAUUAAGGAUACAAUAGUUGUACAUCCUGGCCCUUCUUCCUUCUCUGAGACACUCCUGUCUCUGGACAGAGCUUGAUCAUACACUGCUUUCUGUGGUUGCUUAUUUUCUUUGGUCCAGCACAGCCCAAUUCCAUCACAAUGACGCCAUCUUCCUACAAUAGAUCUAUGGCCCUUCCCCCAGGCCCGGCUGAGUCCUAGUCGGGAGAGCUUGUUUCUUUCUCUGUGCCGUGACUUUGCACAUUUCUGGUUUAGACUAUGCUGUAUUGAUGUCGCACUGUAACUCCCAGG